UAAAACUAAAAGUAAUCUCUAUUUAUACCCCGAACAACUUCACGGCCGUCUCACAUUACUAGUUUAUACAGAGAGAUUGCUAAUAAGUUGCUUGUGAUGAGUUAAGUUGAAAUUGAAGAGGUAAACUGUUUUUCUAUCUUCAGAUUAAAUUCAUUAUUGUUUCUAUACAACUGCUCAUGUUUUAGCUUUCAUUUCCCUUUUCAAUUUCCAAUUUUGAUUAUUUCAUGAUUUUUUUUUUGAGAUUCUAUUUUUUCCCAGGUGUAUUUCACUGUAGGAUAAGGAUUUGGGACUGUCUACGAUGGCUAAUAUGCAUUUCAAUUGUUAUCUACUUGCACCCAAAAAAUCCGAGCUUUGUUUCGAGUCUAAGGUAUUUUCGAUUUUCUUUUUGCUAUAUCAGUUUUGUUUACCAAAAGUUGUUUCUUUACUGCUUUUGUUAUACAUUUUCAGCUGCUACCCUUUGUUAGCUUGUUGCUCAAUGUUGCUUUCCUGCAUACAUUAAUACUAAACAUUUAUUUGUAAUAGUCUUGUACGCUUACUAAUAGUUACUAUUUUUACUGGGAUUUUAGAAAAUGUUAAGAACUGAACUUGAGCUUGAACUUUCUGCCAUUUCCCCGCUAAUGCCAUUCCCAACAUUGACAGAUUGAUAUAUUUCCAUUUUGGUGAAUAUAUAUUCCAUUAUUAUUUAUUUUUUUGGAAGUGGUUGGUUUUAAAUCUCCGUCCUUGAUUAAUAAUAAAUUUUCAUUUCUAUGUUUGCCUCUAAAUGCAUGAGGUUCAAUAUCCAGACAUUAGUCAGGUGUCUAUCAUUGACAAUUUGACAUCAUGGUAGAUACCGUUACAUGUCUGGAAAAUUUAACACAGUAGAAAAUCUGAUUGAUGGGUUUCCCAUCUAUUAUUUAGAUAACUCUUGAAAGUGUCCAUCGUUGCUAAACAAUAGCCAUUAAUUAUGGUUUGAGCUACAUCUCGGUGUAUGCCAGUGUCACAAGUAUUUACUUGUGAAAUUUUGACUAGAUGAAAUUAACCAUUAAAUCAAUAUAUGAAAUUUCUUCAAUGCCACUGUGACUGCUGUUUCUAGUUAUUUAUUUUUGAUUUUAUUUGGUAUCCUAUAGCCACAUUUUUUAGCUGAUAUCUUGAUCCUUUAGUUCUUUUAGGCAAGUUAUUCGGUUGUUUAGAUAUUAUUGUCAAUUUUUUUUAAUAAAAUUCGAUGCAACCCUAGUUUUUUUGUUGCUAUUUUCAGUUUAAAUUAUCAAAAGUUAUAUCUUUACUGCUAUUGUUAUACAUUUUGAGUUGUUUCCCUUUGUGAGGUUGGUGCUUGAUGUUACUUACUGCACACAUUAAACACUAAGCAUUAACUAAUUGUAAAUGAUAUAGGUCAUAGUCUUAUACACUUGAUAAUUGUUUCUAUUUUUACUGGGACUAUCAAAGAAAUCUCAUACUGAACUGGAACUUGAACUUUCUGUCAUUUCCCUCGCUUAUCUUUCCAUUUUGUCAUCCAUUAUUUUUGGAGGUGUUUUGUUUGAAAUCUUUGUCCUUGAGGAAUAAUAUUUUUUUAUUUGUUUACCUAUAAAUGCACAAGGUUCAGUAUCCAUACAUUAGUCAGGCGUCUAUCACUGAUUAUGGUAGAUGCUGUUACAUGUCUGGAAAAUUUAAGACAGGGAAGAAAAUCUGGUUGAUGGGUUUCCCAUCUAUCAUUUAGAUAACUCUUGAAAGUGUCCAUCGUUGCUAAACAAUAUCCAUAAUUAUGGUUUGAGCUACAUCUGGACCCUAUAUCUCAGUGUAUUCCCACUGUCCACUGUCCAGUAACUUGUGAAAACAUGAAGUGUUAUGAAAUUUUUACCAGAUGAAAUAAACCUUGAAAUCAAUAUCUGAAAUGUCUUCUAUGCUCUAUUGCGACUACUGUUUCUAGUUAUUUGUUUUGUUUUUAAUUGGUAACCUAUAAUAGCCGCCUUUUUAGUUGAUAUCUUGAUCCUUCAGUUCUUUUAGACAAGGUUAUUCAGUUUUUAAAAGAUUGCCAAAGAUGCAGAUUUUAUAAAAUUAGGCAAGUAGUAAGGGAAAAUUUAAAGUAAAUGAAAAGAAGUUUUCCCAGAUUUUUGGGUGGUUUUUAAUUUGCCAUGCUUCAAACCAGACAUAGGCAGGUGUCUUCCACAGUUAUGGUUGUGGGGACCGUUGAAUGUCUUGGAAAAUAAAACAGAUGGAAAACUCCGACAAUGGGUUCCCAUCCUGCUGGUGUCCAUCGUUGCCCAGUAAUCUUAUCAAAAUGUUUAUACGAGCUACAUGUGGACGCUAUAUUAUAAACUAUAGACAUGGAGUUUUCAAGGUUUCUUUUAGUUUUUCUUUUCAUGUAGUUUAAACCAGACAUAGGCAGGUGUCUUCCACAGUAAUGGUUGUGGGGACCGUUGAAUGUCUUGGAAAAGAAAAGUCUGAGAUGGAAAACUCUAAUAAUGGGUUUAUAUCUUGCUGGUGUUCAUCGUUGCCCGGUAAUCCAGUUACAAUGAUUAUGCGAGCUACAUCUGGACACUAUAUUUUACAGAAAUACAUCUUCUAUUUUGUGUAUGUCUAUGUUUUUUUGGUGGGUUGGGGAGGGGGUUGAGAUGAAGUUUUUUGAGAAGUGGGCUUGUAACAUAUUGUUGCUAAUUUUAGCAACAUUGAUAUUUUCAAAAAUAUAACUUCCCUUACGCCUGUGUUUUGGGGUUGGGCCUUUGGGGUGUAAUAAAGCUUUUAGAGAUUUUUACUACUUUAUGGGAUCAGUUCAUUUAUAACCAUUGGAAACUUGUGGUUUUUGUUGCAUAUAGUUCUUGUGUGUUGAAUCCACACUCAUGCUUUGUGUGUUCUUGUUUACUUGUGUUUUAUCUGUCUCGUAUAAAUUUUUAUUUCAUCUUCUUUGUAUUUCCAAUGUGAGUUAUAUUUGUUAGCUAUCUGAUUUUUUAUUCAGGUUUGUAUCAAUGUCUUUAUGGUAGUUAGAGAAUAGUAUAUCCCCCUUUAUAGUAUGAAGAUACCAGUUUACAAAGACAAUGAUACACAUUCUUACAUACUCCCUCUGUCCCAAGAUAAAAGUCCUUAUUACUAUUUUGGGUUGUCCCAUGUUAAAUGUCAACUUUUUUUUAAUAACCAAACUUUUACACAUGUUUUCCUAUUAUGUCCGUAGCAUUAAAUAUCUCAUACUUUUCUUAUUCUAAUUCUCUCUCCAUAUUUAAUUACAUUAUUAUGGGCAAUUUUGUCAUUUUAUUCAUCUUCUUAAUAUGCGUGAAAAAUCCACCAAGACUUUUAUCCUGGGACGGGGGGAGUAUAAAAAGUUACUUCAUUCUGUUCCUUUUAAAUUCAGUAUUAUUCUCCCUCCCUCCCUCCCUUUCUUUUAAUGUUUUAUAGUAUAUAUAUACUGUUUCUUUGUCAGCAGGGAUGCACUUGCGUCCACCAUUUCAUCUAAGAACGCAACGUUUUGUAGCAGGUCUAGGUCAAAGUUACAGACAAAAGGAGAGACCUCUAUGAAUUUCAUCAAUAUUUAUGAUGUCUUUUUUGACUGUGAUCGCUAUUCUGUAAGUUUAGACAAUUUUAUAUGAGUUCUAUUAUAGGUAAAUUAUCUUGCUCAUCUCUAGUAGGUUAAUCAUAUAACUCUUUAAGAUACUAUACAUUGGGAAGCCAGAUUGACCCACAUGCAACACUGGGUCAUAGACCUGCUAUUAUGCAUCAGUUUUUGAUUUCCUAAAUCUUUCACAGGUUCAGAUUGUUUGCCUUAUUUUUCAUCCCUAAAUCUAGUUCAGUUUACUUUUUUUUAGUUAAAUUGGAUAUUGUUUACAAUAAAUUUGUUUAGGUUGAAGAAAAGAAAUUGGCAAUGAAAAUAUUAGUCCUUUUGAGUCCAUGGUUGGCCAAAGAAAAGCAGAAAAAUCAGAACUCUCAACUGGAAAAAACUCACAUUGACAGGACUAUUAUUGUUCGAGAUCCGGUAAAUUCUGUUGCAUGGUUGAAAAUACCUGGCAAUUCCAUUUUAUGAUUUGAUUUUGUACAUUCAGGAUUGUGCAAAAUUAGAUUUGUAUUGUACUUAAUAUAUGAGAAUGCCCCGACUUGCAGGGACCGAGGCAUAUUUGUUUUGCCGAAGACAAUUAGAAUAAAUCCCUCUAGAAGAUAUCGAGCUGUCUUCAUCGGACCAUGGUUAAACCAUGGUCCCCAAGACGAUUUCCAGUGGAAGAAGUUUUACAGGUCCUUCAGCAUAGAUCUUCAUGGUCAGGAGUCGAGGAAAAGAUAAUUGGCAAAGGGCAAGAAAGCUGAAGGCUCAUUUUCUUCUGUUUGCUCUCUGUAAAUUAUAGAAAUUGUAAUUGGUUUACAGAAAGUGAAAAUAGAAAAGCUAAGGUCCUCCAACAGUUGUAUUACCAAAAAAAAACGUUGCCCUUCCCUUUGUAAAUUGGAUGGACCCUAGGACAAGAGUAAUGAGAAAAUAAAACAUUUGUCACAUAAAAUUAAUUGCCCAAGGUAUUGUCCAACUAGUAAAUCCAAUGUUUAACAUAUUUUAAGUUUUGCUACUUUUGUAAAAUAAUAAUUUAUAAUAUAUUCAACUAUUAAU
rnacentral:lncRNA from 1 species